GUGGGGAAUUUUGGACAAUGGGGGCAACCCUGAUCCAGCCAUGCCGCGUGCGGGAAGAAGGCCUUCGGGUUGUAAACCGCUUUUGUCAGGGAAGAAAUCCUUUGGGUUAAUACCUCGGAGGGAUGACGGUACCUGAAGAAUAAGCACCGGCUAACUACGUGCCAGCAGCCGCGGUAAUACGUAGGGUGCGAGCGUUAAUCGGAAUUACUGGGCGUAAAGCGUGCGCAGGCGGUUUUGUAAGAUCGAUGUGAAAUCCCCGGGCUCGACCUGGGAACUGCAUUGGUGACUGCAAGGCUGGAGUGCGGCAGAGGGGGAUGGAAUUCCGCGUGUAGCAGUGAAAUGCGUAGAUAUGCGGAGGAACACCGAUGGCGAAGGCAAUCCCCUGGGCCUGCACUGACGCUCAUGCACGAAAGCGUGGGGAGCAAACAGGAUUAGAUACCCGGGUAGUCC
rnacentral:rRNA from 1 species